UACGGAGGGUGCAAGCGUUAAUCGGAAUUACUGGGCGUAAAGGACACGCAGGCGGUCUGUUAAGUCAGAUGUGAAAUCCCCGGGCUUAACCUGGGAACUGCGUUUGAGACUGGCAGGCUGGAGUCUUGUAGAGGGGGGUAGAAUUCCAUGUGUAGCGGUGAAAUGCGUAGAGAUGUGGAGGAAUACCGGUGGCGAAGGCGGCCCCCUGGACAAAGACUGACGCUCAUGUGCGAAAGCGUGGGGAGCAAACAGG
rnacentral:rRNA from 1 species